rnacentral:rRNA from 1 species
UAAGCAUAUCAAUAAGCGGAGGAAAAGAAACCAACAGGGAUUGCCUCAGUAACGGCGAGUGAAGCGGCAAGAGCUCAAAUUUGAAAGCUGGCUCCUUCGGGGUCCGCAUUGUAAUUUGCAGAGGAUGUUUCGGAAGCAGCCCCCAUCUAAGUGUCCUGGAACGGACCGUCAUAGAGGGUGAGAAUCCCGUAUGGGAUGGGGUGUCUGCGUCCAUGUGAAACUCCUUCGACGAGUCGAGUUGUUUGGGAAUGCAGCUCUAAAUGGGUGGUAAAUUUCAUCUAAAGCUAAAUAUUGGCCGGAGACCGAUAGCGCACAAGUAGAGUGAUCGAAAGAUGAAAAGCACUUUGAAAAGAGAGUUAAAAAGCACGUGAAAUUGUUGAAAGGGAAGCGCUUGCGAUCAGACUCGCCUUGGGGGUUCAGCCGGCAUUCGUGCCGGUGUACUUCCCCCAGGGCGGGCCAGCGUCGGUUUGGGUGGCUGGUCAAAGGCCCUUGGAAUGUAACGCCUCUCGGGGCGUCUUAUAGCCAAGGGUGCCAUGCAGCCUACCUGGACCGAGGAACGCGCUUCGGCUCGGACGCUGGCAUAAUGGUCGUAAGCGACCCGUCUUGAAACACGGACCAAGGAGUCUAACAUCUACGCGAGUGUUCGGGUGUCAAACCCGUGCGCGCAGUGAAAGCGAACGGAGGUGGGAACCCUUUGGGUGCACCAUCGACCGAUCCUGAUGUCUUCGGAUGGAUUUGAGUAAGAGCGUAGCUGUUGGGACCCGAAAGAUGGUGAACUAUGCCUGAAUAGGGCGAAGCCAGAGGAAACUCUGGUGGAGGCUCGCAGCGGUUCUGACUUGCAAAUCGAUCGUCGAAUUUGGGUAUA